GAUGAACGCUGGCGGCGUGCCUAAUACAUGCAAGUCGAGCGAACAGACGAGGAGCUUGCUCCUCUGACGUUAGCGGCGGACGGGUGAGUAACACGUGGAUAACCUACCUAUAAGACUGGGAUAACUUCGGGAAACCGGAGCUAAUACCGGAUAAUAUAUUGAACCGCAUGGUUCAAUAGUGAAAGACGGUUUUGCUGUCACUUAUAGAUGGAUCCGCGCCGCAUUAGCUAGUUGGUAAGGUAACGGCUUACCAAGGCGACGAUGCGUAGCCGACCUGAGAGGGUGAUCGGCCACACUGGAACUGAGAAACGGUCCAGACUCCUACGGGAGGCAGCAGUAGGGAAUCUUCCGCAAUGGGCGAAAGCCUGACGGAGCAACGCCGCGUGAGUGAUGAAGGGCUUCGGAUCGUAAAACUCUGUUAUUAGGGAAGAACAAAUGUGUAAGUAACUAUGCACGUCUUGACGGUACCUAAUCAGAAAGCCACGGCUAACUACGUG
rnacentral:rRNA from 1 species